ensembl:lncRNA
AGGAUUAAAAAGCAAAACCUUUGGAGGAUUUCCCUGGGGGCCCAGUGCUUAGGACUCCAUGCUUCCAGCGCUGGGUGUGUGUGUUUGAUCCCUGCUCAGGGGACUGUGAUACCACAUGCCAAGUGGUGCAGCAUCCCCCCAAAUUUUUUAAUCAAUAAGUAAAAGUAAAAAGCAAAACCUUUGGAAAAUCCAACAAUGAAAAACUACAGCUGUGUCUUUUCCUACCUUGAAUCCCGAUCCCUAAAGAGCCCCUCAGUGUAGACCCUGGUCGGCUCUGCCGGUGUUGGAAACACUGCCACCUGCUGGACCCUUUGAGAAUGUCAGCAGGCCCUGCCCUUCAAACCCAGUCGCAAACUUGACUGGUGCCAGCGUCAGCAACUCAGCCACCAGAGUCGGGGUGCACGGGACCCAAGACCUGUGGCUGCCAGUUGCUCGAGGGAGAGAUUAGUCGAGCCAGAAUAUUGGCCAGAAUAUAGACAUAAUUAGACAUAGUUUUUAACAUUUAAGAGAACUGUAUUAAAUUCCAGGACUUGCCUCUUGAAAUGAUCUCAUUCUAUGAUUAUGUUACCUCCAUUGGGCUUCCCUGGUGGCUUAGGCCAUGAAGAAUCUGACUCGGGUCUGAUCCCUAAAGAAGGAAAUGACUACCCACUCCAGUAUUCUUGCCUGGAGAAUUCCAUGGACAGAGGAGCCUGACAGGCUACAGUCCAUGGGAUCACAAAGAGUCGGACAAGACUGAGCGAUUAACUUUCACUUUCACUUUGUCAUUCGCUGAAGGAUUUGGGAACAGAAAGGUCAAGACCUCCUCUGUCCUCUGUAGAUCUUCAGGCCCUGAUUUGAAAUGAUGUGUGUGCUCAGCCCUAGACUUUCAAGGCAGCUUCAAGUGAGAUAUGUUCUGACCAGAUUCCAGCCUCCAGUCCCUGUUCCCAGCCCUUCACCAGAGCCGUCGGGUAAAUUUUCUAAUCCUCUCCGGGACAUUCCUAUUUCCUGCCGAGAAGUAAGAAAACAACAGUGCUUCCCUAAGGGCGGUAUGCCUCAGCCCUGCCUCGCAAUCUCCAUUUUAGGAAAAAUGUUUCCCCGAGCACGAAUCCUCUGAAAGGAAAAGGCCUGUGAGUCUCCUGGGAAAGAAUAUGAGACCCCACCGUGAGGAUUUGCCGUAGAAUUUCGCUGCAUUCCUCUGCGGGACUGGGCUGUCUAGGAAGUUCAUUUUGAUUUAAAAAUAUAUCAGAAUGGGAAUGUGUUUGUGUGAGUAGGCGUGUGAAACAGAUUUGAAAAAAAGACAGGCAAAAAUAAAGUGGGGAGAUAAGGAGAGAGGUCAAAGGCAAAUAGUUCUUUCCUUCUAAAAGGAUCUCUUCAGAGUGCUUGGAUUUUUUAUUAUGGAAAUACUCAAAACAUUCAAAACUAGAGAAAAUAGUCUAAUGAACCACUGGGUGCCCCUCAUCCCGCUUCAACAAUUAUCAACAUUGCCAACCUUUAUCACUUAUCUGCUCCUCUUCUUUUUUUGUACUAGAGCUGGGCCUGGCCAAAUCCAUGGCCAAAACCAACUUGCCUCUUGUUUUUCAGGGGAAAGAAAAAAAGGUUUACUGGAACACAGCCAUUCCCAAUGGUUUCUAUUGUCUAUACCUGUGUUCACAUCCCAGCAGCAGAGGUGAAUAGUUGUGACAGAAAUCGUGUGACCCACGUGCCUGAAAUAUUUCUUGUCUGGUCUUUCACAGAAAAUAUUUACACACGCACUCAGCCCUGUGCACAUGCAUGCCUGCUCAGUCAUGUCCUACCGUUUGCAGCCCCAUGCACUGAAGCCCACCAGGCUUCUCUGUCCAUGGGAUUCUCCAGGCAAGAACACCGGAGUGGGUGGGCAUGCCCUUCUCCAGGGGAUCUUUCCCACCCAGGGAUCAAACCCAGGUCCGUAGCACUGCAGGCAGAUUCUUUACUGUCUGAGCCGUCUCUUUUACUCACACUUAUUUGUUGAAGAAACCAGACUCUUUGUCCUACAAAAUCGCCACAUUUCGGAUAUAGUUGGGUAUAUGCUCAUUGCACCAUUUUACAUGACCACAAUGCAUUAUUUUUAAUUAGAGUAGGCCUUAAAAAAAAAAUGGAGUACAGUUGAAUUACAACGUUGUGUUAGUUUCAGGUAUACAGCAAAGUGUUUCACUUGCUGCUGCUGCUGCUGCUAAGUCGAUUCAGUCGUGUCCGACUCUGUGGGACCCCGUAGGCGGAAGCCCACCAGGCUCCCUCACCCCUGGGAUUCUCCAGGCAAGAAUACUGGAGUGGGUUGCCAUUUCCUUCUCCAAUGCAUGAAAGUGAAAAGUGAAAAGGAAGUCGCUCAGUCGUGUCCGACUCUUAGCAACCCCAUGGACUGCAGCCUACCAGGCUCCUCCAUCCAUGGGAUUUUCCAGGCAAGAGUACUGGAGUGGGGUGCCAUUGCCUUCUCCGGUGUUUCAGUUAUAUAUAUACAUAUACACACACACUUUUUCAAGAUAGUGAAUAUGGUUCCCUGGUCUAUAUAGUAAGUCUUAUUGUUUAUCUGCUUUGUAUUUAGUGGUGUGUAGUGUGUAUCUAUUAAUCCCAAUCUCCUAAUUUAUCCCUCCCUACCCUUUCCCCUUUGAUAGCCAUGUUUGUUUUCUAAGCCCGUGAGUCUAUUUUUGUUUCGUAAAUAAAUUCCUUUGCAUAAUUUUUUUAAGAUUCCACCUUGAAGUGAUAUUGUAUGAUAUUUGUCUUUCUCCAUCUGACUUACUUCAGUAUGUUAAUAGUAUGAUAAUAUCUACAUCCAUC